GUUUGAAAGCUUACUUAGAGAGAGGGAGAGGGGAAGAGGAAGGGAGAGAGAGAGAGUGAGGGCGAUAACAAGGUCCUCUUUGGGAGAGCAAGAAAAUAUAGAGCGAAGCUGGAAUGUCACAGUAGAAAGUUCUAGAAACCUCCUAAUCUUAUAGUAGAAAGUUCCAGAAACCUCCUAAUCUUAUAGACAUUUACGUGUCUCACUUUUUUCAUUCUUUUCUCCACCACGUCCUCCUCAAGAUUGGUUCAGAGAGGAAUGAAUCGUUUAGGGUUUAAAUCCGUGGUCUAUCACGGCGACUUGUGUUUGGGAGAACUUGAUGUAAUUCCGGCGACGGACCAAAAUUUCCAGUUCCCAAACAACGAGAUUCGUAUCCAUCACAUAUCGCCACAGAGCGAACGAUGCCCUCCUCUUUCAAUUCUCCAAACAAUUUCUUCGUUUUCUGUUCGUUGCAAGCUCGAAUCUUCUUUGCCUGUUGAACAGCCUCAUUUGAUCCGUCUACAUGCCUCUUGUUUCUACGAAUUCAAGACGGCGGUAGUAUUGGUUGGAGACGAAGAGAUUCACUUAGUGGCUAUGCCCAGUAAGCAGAAGAAGUUUCCUUGCUUUUGGUGCUAUUCGGUUCCGGGGGGUUUAUACAAUGCUUCCUUAGGAAUGCUGAAUCUGCGGUGCCUCGCAAUCGUAUUCGAUCUUGAUGAGACGCUAAUUGUUGCGAACACCAUGAAAUCUUUCGAGGAUAGAAUCGAGGCUCUACGAGGUUGGAUUGAGCGGGAGACUGAUCCACUGCGUCUAUCUGGAAUGUCUGCUGAACUAAAGCGGUACAUUGAUGAUCGAGCGCUGUUGAAGCAGUAUGCGGAGGGUGAUUCUGUCAUGGAUAAUGGAAAGUUGUUGAAGGUUCAACUUGAAGAGGUUCCUCCAGUUUCCGAUAACCAUGAGAAAAUUGUCCGGCCUGUAAUUAGAUUGCAAGAGAAAAAUAUUGUUCUCACUCGAAUCAAUCCCGAGAUCCGUGAUACUAGUGUGCUUGUGAGGUUGCGACCUGCAUGGGAAGAUUUGAGAAGUUAUCUAACAGCAAAAGGACGAAAAAGGUUUGAAGUUUAUGUUUGUACCAUGGCUGAAAGAGAUUAUGCCUUAGAAAUGUGGAGACUUCUUGACCCUGGCGCACAUCUGAUAGGUUCAAAGCAACUCCUAGACCGUGUUGUUUGUGUCAAAUCAGGAUCCAGGAAAUCUUUAACUAGUGUCUUCCAAGAUGGUAUGUGCCAUUCGAAGAUGGCAAUGGUUAUUGAUGACCGUUCGAAGGUUUGGGAAGAUAAGGAUCAACCUCGUGUUCAUGUAGUUCCAGCAUUCACUCCUUACUAUGCUCCUCAGGCGGAGACAGCAAAUGCUGUUCCCGUCCUCUGUGUAGCAAGAAAUGUUGCAUGCAAUGUCAGAGGUUAUUUUUUCAAAGAAUUUGAUGAGAAUUUAUUGCGAAGGAUCUCUGAAAUUUUUUAUGAGGAUGAUGUGAUGAAUUUACCUCCCUCUCCUGAUGUGAGCAACUACUUAAUGUCAGAGGAUGCUGGUUUUGUACCAAAUGGCAAUACUAAUGCUCCUAUUAGUGAAGGAAUAAAUGGUGUUGAAGUUGAACAGAGAUUGAACCAACCUGAUGAUAGGCAUGUUAUAGACUUGACUGCUCAUUCUAUGACAAAUAAUGUGGAGUUGAGAUCUGGAACCUUGCAGUCACCUGUUGCAAUUUUUCCAAAUGCCACAGGUCCUGCAUCUGUGAGACCACUCAUGCCUUCGCAGAAACCAGGUUUACUUGGACCUCCUGUUAGACGAGAUAGCUUUUCUGAUCGUGAUUAUGACAUGAAGAGAGGACUGCUUCCUAUGAAGCAUAUAGACUUAAGGAAUCAAAGUGUAGGUGAACCGCCACUUCUAUCUAGAUUACCAACACAACCUUCAGCAACUGCAGUCCAGGCACAAGGAGGCUGGUUGGUGGAAGAUGAUGUGAAUAAAGGACAUCUAAAUAACCGAUCUUCAGGGCUUAUUAAAGAAUCUGAUGCAUUAAGAUCUGACAGGCAGAGAGCUCAUCAGAAUUCUUCUUCUUAUACAACCCCAGUCCCUGCUGCUCCUAGUUUAUUCUCACAAACCUCGGAAGUGAAGAGUGAGGAGGUAUACAGUGGACAUGAUUUACAGAAACAAAAUCUUCCUCAAGCCAGUCCGCCGUUGGAUGCUGGAGUCUCCAAGGACCAAGCACCAUCUUACAGUAGAGAAUCUCAACCUGAAGCUGGAAAAGCAAACCCGCUACCAUCCCCUUUAUCUAUUGGAGUACUGCAGGAAAUUGCACGAAGAUGCUGCUCAAAGGUUGAGUUCAGGUCUGUUUUAAGCACCAGCAAGGAUUUGCAGUUUUCUGUUGAGGUUCUGUUCACUGGCGAGAAGAUAGGUGUUGGAAUGGGUAAGACUAGGAAGGAUGCUCAACAACAAGCUGCUGAGAAUGCCCUUCACAGCUUGGCUGAAAAAUAUGUAGCGUAUGUUGCACCUCGUUCAGCAGCUGUGGACAAAGAUUUUGAUAAACUUUCUCUUGAAAAUGACAAUGGAUUUCUGUUCGACAUUAUCGAUCCUGGAUCGACUGAACUACUUAAAGAAGAUGAGUUGCCCAAGGAAAGUGCUCCUGAGGUGCGGAAUUCUUGAUGAUGCUUUCAAUAGUUAAUUUGCUUUUCUGUGUUCAAAAUACAUAGGUGAUGCUUGGAUAAGGGGUAUGUGGGCAAGACAUUUCCUGAUGGGGGUAGUGGUUAUCUGGUGAGAACCACUCCUUUUUUGGAUUUUGCAUCGCACCAAGAUGUGAUAGCUAAAACAAUGAAUGGGGAAUGAGCUGGCUUCAUGUCCGCUACUGCUGCCUAGUCCAGGCUUCAUUAUUUCCUGUUUUAAGAGAUUACCACAAUCUGUUUCCAAUAAACGAUCAAAGGAAGAAUUACACCGAAUUUCGCAGAAUUUAUCGUCCUAGUGGCAACAGAAGAAUGGAGAUCACGAUUCAUGAUCAGCUAGAAGAUCGGGAAGAAAUGAAACAAAAAGAGAGAAGGUUUUUGGAGCCCAAAGAUUAGCCAACACCAAAAACAACAUUUGGUGAAACAUGACUUGUAAUUUCGCUGCGGAAGGGUGGGGUAUUUUUUUGAUUUUGCCCUAAGCUUUCCUGCUUAAGGAGGAGGAGAUAUCGAGGGCUUGAAUUUGGCCUCACUUUGUACUCAGUCGCCUUGGCUUCCGUAUAGAUAAUUGAAUUUUUUUUUUGUCAA